AAUGAACGCUGGCGGCGUGCCUAACACAUGCAAGUCGAGCGAGAAAGUCCCCUUCGGGGGGCGAGUAAAGCGGCGCACGGGUGAGUAACGCGUGGGUAACCUGCCCUUGAGUGGGGGAUAACCAGCCGAAAGGCUGACUAAUCCCGCAUACGACCGGCAGACACAAGUCUGUCGGGGAAAGAUGGCCUCUGCUUGCAAGCUAUCGCUCUUGGAUGGGCCCGCGUUGGAUUAGCUAGUUGGUGGGGUAACGGCCUACCAAGGCUGCGAUCCAUAGCUGGUUUGAGAGGACGACCAGCCACACUGGAACUGAGACACGGUCCAGACUCCUACGGGAGGCAGCAGUGAGGAAUAUUGCGCAAUGGGGGAAACCCUGACGCAGCGACGCCGUGUGAGCGAUGAAGGCCUUCGGGUCGUAAAGCUCUGUCAGAGGGAAAGAAAGGGUACGGCGGAAGUAAAUACCCGCCGACCAUUAGACGGUACCCUCGGAGGAAGCACCGGCUAACUACCGUCGCC
rnacentral:rRNA from 1 species